rnacentral:miRNA from 1 species
CAGCAGACACAUUCCAGCCAAUCAGCAGCAGACCCUCCCUCCCAGACCCUUCCACCUCCUGGACAGCAUCCAUUUUACAUUCAUUGUGAAGCUGCAUUCUUAGUGAGCUGUCCAGGAGGUGGGAGGGAUCUGGGAGGGAGGGUCUGCUGCUGAUUGGCUGGAAUGUGUCUGCUG